rnacentral:rRNA from 1 species
AUCCUACAUUAUGCCCCUGAACACGCCCGAUCUCGGCCGAUCUCGGAAGCCAGGCAGGGUCAGGCCUGGUUAGUACUUGGAUGGGCGAAUGCCAGCGAAUAUCAGGUGCUUUAAGCUU